rnacentral:miRNA from 1 species
UCUCUCCAGCCCCCAUAAUAAG